UUUCAGGGGGGGGCUGCAGCCCCCUCAGCCCCUCCCCUGGAUACGCAACUGUGAAGGAGCAAGUCCGUUGAUGAAAGACUACUACCACUACAAUAAUCAAACAUUCAAUUUUCAUGAUUCAUAACAUAUCAAUUCUAGUCAAGAGGGAACAAUAGUGAGUGAUGUAGGAAUGUGCCUGAGCCUCAAGGAGAUAACCUAUUUGGAGAAAUGCAGUGCUGCUCCAAUUCAUCAUUAUAUAAUUAUUUAAGUCAACAAAUAAGAGCUUAGUUUUGGAUAACAAGGUAAAGAAUAUUAAGAAUAUCUUGGAACUAACAUUGACUUAUCAACUAUGAUUCAGCUCAUACAUCUUCUUUUGACAAUCUCAAGUUUUUAUUUUCAGCCAAUUAAUUUUUAUCCUUACUGUUAAUUUUUGUAUAUUUAACUGUUAUUGGUGUUUUAUUUACUUAUUUUUUAACAAAAACAUAUAAUGGAUAGAAUUUAUUGACAAAAUGUUAACCAUUGUAAUACAUUAUACAGACAUAAAUUUUCUAAAUUUCGGUGCUGGUCUAGUUG